UGGGGAAUAUUGCACAAUGGGCGCAAGCCUGAUGCAGCAAUGCCGCGUGAGUGAAGACGGCCUUAGGGUUGUAAAACUCUUUCGCUAGGGAAGAUAAUGACGGUACCUAGUAAAGAAGUCCCGGCUAACUCCGUGCCAGCAGCCGCGGUAAUACGGAGGGGACUAGCGUUGUUCGGAAUUACUGGGCGUAAAGAGUUCGUAGGCGGACUAGCAAGUUAGAGGUGAAAUCCCAGGGCUCAACCUUGGAACUGCCUUUAAAACUGCUAGUCUAGAGACCGGAAGAGGUUAGGGGAAUACCUAGUGUAGAGGUGAAAUUCGUAGAUAUUUGGAGGAACACCAGUGGCGAAGGCGGCUCACUGGCUCGAUACUGACGCUGAGGUGCGAAAGUGUGGGGAGCAAACAGGAUUAGAUACCCUGGUAGUCCACGCCGUAAACGAUGAAUGUUAGCCGUCGGGCAGUAUACUGUUCGGUGGCGCAGCUAACGCAUUAAACAUUCCGCCUGGGG
rnacentral:rRNA from 1 species